rnacentral:pre_miRNA from 1 species
AGAGGAAUAGCUGGGUCAAAUGGUGGUUCCACUCCCAGCUUUCCAAGGAAUCUCCAUACUGCUUUCCAAAUUGGCGUAACCAAUUUGCAAUCCCACCAGCAAU